GAAUUCGCCCUUAGAGUUUGAUCCUGGCUCAGGAUGAACGCUGGCGGCGUGCUUAACACAUGCAAGUCGAACGGAGUUUAAGAAGGAAGCUUGCUUUCAUUUUAAACUUAGUGGCGGACGGGUGAGUAACGCGUGAGGAACCUGCCCUUCAGUGGGGAACAACAACUAGAAAUGGUUGCUAAUACCGCAUAAUGUCGGAUUGCCGCAUGACAGACCGAUCAAAGGAUUUAUUCGCUGAAAGAUGGCCUCGCGUCUGAUUAGCUGGUUGGCGGGGUAACGGCCCACCAAGGCGACGAUCAGUAGUCGGUCUGAGAGGAUGAACGGCCACAUUGGGACUGAGACACGGCCCAGACUCCUACGGGAGGCAGCAGUGGGGAAUAUUGCGCAAUGGGGGAAACCCUGACGCAGCAACGCCGCGUGAUUGAAGAAGGUCUUCGGAUUGUAAAAAUCUUUUAUCAAGGACGAAGAAGUGACGGUACUUGAUGAAUAAGCUCCGGCUAACUACGUGCCAGCAGCCGCGGUAAUACGUAGAUGACAAGCGUUAUCCGGAUUUACUGGGUGUAAAGGGCGAGUAGGCGGAUUGGCAAGUUGGGAGUGAAAUGUCGGGGCUUAACCCCGGAACUGCUUCCAAAACUGUUGAUCUUGAGUGAUGGAGAGGCAGGCGGAAUUCCCAGUGUAGCGGUGAAAUGCGUAGAUAUUGGGAGGAACACCAGUGGCGAAGGCGGCCUGCUGGACAUUAACUGACGCUGAGGAGCGAAAGCGUGGGGAGCAAACAGGAUUAGAUACCCUGGUAGUCCACGCCGUAAACGAUGGAUACUAGGUGUGGGAGGUAUUGACCCCUUCCGUGCCGCAGUUAACACAUUAAGUAUCCCACCUGGGGAGUACGACCGCAAGGUUGAAACUCAAAGGAAUUGACGGGGGCCCGCACAAGUGGUGGAGCAUGUGGUUUAAUUCGACGCUACGCGAAGAACCUUACCUGGGUUUGACAUUCACAGGAAGAGUGCAGAGAUGUAUUCGCCUUCGGGCCUGUGAACAGGUGCUGCAUGGCUGUCGUCAGCUCGUGCCGUGAGGUGUUGGGUUAAGUCCCGCAACGAGCGCAACCCCUAUUUUCAGUUACCAUCGGGUAAUGCCGGGGACUCUGGAGAGACUGCCGUUAUAAAACGGAGGAAGGCGGGGAUGACGUCAAGUCAGCAUGGCCCUUACGUCCAGGGCUACACACGUGCUACAAUGGUCGGUACAAAGGGAAGCGAAGUCGCGAGGCGGAGCAAAUCUCAAAAAGCCGAUCCCAGUCCGGACUGCAGGCUGCAAUUCGCCUGCACGAAGUCGGAAUCACUAGUAACCGCAGGUCAGCUACACUGCGGUGAAUACGUUCCCGGGCCUUGUACACACCGCCCGUCA
rnacentral:rRNA from 1 species